AGCUGGUUAAUGGACCAAUAACAACACAAGCAAGAGCAGCCCACAGACUGUUUGUCACACUGCCCCCUGGUGACAGUGAAAAACUACAGCAUGUCGACAAUGGUCUGCUAGGCCAUGAUGGUACAGUGUUCCUCAUGCACGUCCCACUAAGCGGAUCCACGUCUUCCACAAUGACAAACGGAGCCUCCUCCAAUGUCACGAUGGACAGGUGGUCAUCCUCUCUGUUUGCUGGUCCCCCGUAUAGUUCAUAGCGAGGCCACACAUGGUACUUCAUGGACAGGGAACCGUUCUCCCAUUUACCCACCUGGAGAAACAUCGAGAAAACAAAAGAGACCACACUAUUCUCUGGUGAACACACCACUGGAGAUCCACACAGCGUUUCUCUAUUGGAGGUUUGAGGAUCUCCAACUGCCCCUAGGAGACGACCCCCGAGCCAACACGCCAAACCACCUCAACGGGCCAGUGAUGCUUUUUUGACAACUUUGCCAGCCACGGUGUACAAAGCUUUCUUCAACACCAGUUAAAUAGUUCAGGUUUAUAAAAAGAUCCUUCUUCAUCCUGCUCCCCGACUGUAGCACAAAUGAAUAAUGAUGGAAAGUCAAGCACCAAGAUCCACUUGGAAAAUGAGUCCCUACUUUCUCUCUAAAGAUACCAGGGUGGCUUUUUAGAGAGACAAUAGGGACUUCUACAGACUUCUUCUCAUAGCUUGUCCAGAAGUCGUAGAGAUCUUACCCCAGUUUCCUGAGUUUUAAUUAAAUCACAUUUUUAGAAGAACCCCACCUAAAGCCACUUCCUGCUAUCCCAAGUCGUGUUUUCACUAUCAAACUAAUAAUUCUAUCCUGGAACAACCUGAUUUCCUUUUCUAACUCCUGAAAACAGUUUUGUCCAAUAGCCAUUGUGUCACUGUG